rnacentral:rRNA from 1 species
ACACGACUACAUUAGAUACCCCGGUAGUCCUAGCCGUAAACGAUACUCGCUAGGUGUCGGCCAUGGUGCGACCGUUGUCGGUGCCGUAGGGAAGCCGUGAAGCGAGCCACCUGGGAAGCACGGCCGCAAGGCUGAAACUUAAAGGAAUUGGCGGGGGAGCACAACAACGGGUGGAGCUUGCGGUUUAAUUGGACUCAACGCCGGAAAUCUUACCGGGACCGACAGCAACAUGAAGGCCAAGCUGAAGACUUUGCCGGAUUAGCUG